rnacentral:lncRNA from 1 species
UAGAGAAGAAGGCGGCGUCGAUCAUGGCAUCGAACAUGUUGCCGUAGCUGGAGAGCGUGUUGGGAUCGACGAUCUGCUUGCUGGGGAGAAGCGGCUUGAAGAGGGCGUAGUCCAGUGGGAAGAUCCCGCCACCUUCUAUGUAGCCAUGGUAGGGCUGAGCGUUGAGCAUGAAGGAGGACCCUGUUUUCUGCAGAAACUGCAGCAGCCCCACCAUGACGGAGCUCCAGGUAGAGUUGAACGUUGCCGCCGAGGGGGGGAACGGCCGCGGGAUCACCGCCAUGGAAUGAGGCGUCGAGACCUUCACCUGCAGGUUGAGAUCGGCGGCGACGAGGGCGGAGUGGAGGUGCUCCACGGCGGCGACCAGGACGGCGGCGGCGUUGGGGAUCGACGUCAGGACCUCGUCGCCGACGGCGAUAAAGGUAAUGUUGGUGGCCGGAGAGAAGGUGGCGACGUUAGUCUUGACCCACUCCGCCGCCGCCGCCGGAGACUGUCCGAUGCGGAGGACCUCGUCGUUCUGAACGCCGACCAUGACCUCCACGCCGGUGCCGGCGAGGGCGCUCAGAAGCUGGUGGUCUGCAUCAGAGAGGCGGACAUGACGGAUAC